rnacentral:lncRNA from 1 species
GAUGUGGCGCGGGUCGGUGGACCCCAGAAACAUGGGCCUGAGACCCUCGAGGAGGGGGGUCAGCAGAACAGUCCCCUGCUCCGUGAGCUCACCGCCCCCCUUGGACAUGGGCCACCCACCAAGGGGCCCUGCCUUGGUCUCCAACUCCAGGAUCCCCUGUUUCUCAGCGCUGCUGAUGUAGAAGGCACUACCGCUGAGGGCCCCUGCUUUGCCAAGCCGCUGAGACGGUACCGCAGGCCAUGGUGGCAGUCACUGUCACGCGAGCCUCGGCCACAUGCAGCGCAAACACAAGCACACACACGUGAACACACACGGAGACAUGCAAACAGACACACGCACAUGCACACACAGACACACACACGGAGACUAAGCCACGCGGAGAAAUCCAACAGUCGCGGGCAGCUCCUGAGGCUGUGCGGUUCUGCUCUCUUCCGGGAAGCCCCUCGGGGUUAGAGCAGCCCCGCAGCACACAGGCUGACCUUACCUUUAAUUCCCAGCGGGGACAGCCUUCAAGGAGACGCACCCCAAGAUCGUCUGGGCAGGCCUGAAUCAUCUAGGGGGUCCUUGGGGAUCCCUCGCCCUGGGCAUCCGUAAAGGUCCGCUGGACCUUUCCUCAGCCCGGUUCCGCCAAGCCGGAAUCCGGAAAUCGCGGGACCGCUGCGACGAUCUCCGUGAAGCGGGGUCCGUCGCCCAACGUCCAGGAACUGCCGCAGCGGGCCCCUGCCUUUCCAAGACGCUGAGACGGUUCCCCCGGACACGGCGGCCGUCACUGUGAGGCGAGUCCCUGCUCAGCGCUCCGCUUCUGAUGCCCC